GCUGAGUGUGGUGGCACACACCUGUAAUCCCAGCAGCUCAGGAGGCUGAGGCAGGAGGAUCAAGAGUUCAAAGUCAACCUUUUUUGCUGAGGCUUCAGCAAAAGAGAGACAUUAAGCAACUCAGUGAGACCCUGUCUCUA
rnacentral:sRNA from 1 species